AGUCCAAAGGACGACAGUUUAUCUGUCAUUAACAGCAGCUGAGCAGCCUAUCUUCUAUCUCUGGUCCUCCAUUCUCUUCUCCUGUUCUUCACUCUUCUCCCGUCGCCUAUCUGUCAACAACAACAGCACUCCGGAGAUGAGCAGCUCUUCUGAAGGUAUGGACGUCGUGCUGCUUUUGUCUGUUCUUCACUCCUCUUUGUUCUCUACUCUGCUGGUCUAGUAAGUUGUAAACUUGCAGUUUCAUAGUCUUAUAUAAACUUGUUGAUGUUGUGCUGUUAUGGAGUAUGGACUAUUCAAGUAUUUGAAUAAACUUGUUGCUGUUGUGCUGGUCUAGUAAGCUGGAUGUACUGCUAUUUUUGACUUCCAAGUAUUGAAAUUGAAUAUUGAUAUUGUUGAGCUUUUAUGGACUAUUUAAGUAUUUAUACUGCUGCAAGUCUAUAUAUAUAUAUAUAGUGUUAUAUAUGACUAAGAUUUAUUUGAAUCUUAAGUAUAUAUAUAUAUAUAUAUAUAGUGUUAUAUAUGACUAUAUAUCUAUAUAUAUGUCCUGGAAUACACAGGACGGCCAGGGGGUGAUUAGGAUCGAUCACGAGCGACUAAUCACCUGAUCGCCCAGUGGGAUCGAUCAGGUGAUCAGGCGAUCUGAAAACUAUGUUGUGCAAUGCAUAAAAUCGAAAAGCAUCACCGCAAGGGAUUCAACUCCUUAGUGGUGAUGGUGGCAUGGUGGAUUUGGAAAUAUAGGAAUGUUUGUGCCUUUGAAUGGAUCAAAAGAACUCACCAAAUGAUAAUACAAUCAGGCAAAAAAAUACGGAUGAGGCAAAUUUGUGCUGUAUCGCUGUGCUAAAGGUCUUAGACACAUUUGGCCAGUUAGUAACUCAUGUAAAAUCAUGCCCUAAUGUAUUUGUAUGAAUCUUCUUAAAGUCCUAUUUUCUUCUUAAUAUAAUGAUGCACAACUCGUUCAACAAAAAAAGAACAGUAUUGAUGAAAACUAUAAAAGCAAGGUCAUUUUUCACAACAUAUUUCAAUUAAAAAUAAGACAUUUGUCAUUUGCCAGAAAAUUUGAGACAAGUGUCAUAAAAACAUUGGUCAGCCUUGAUCCGAAGCACUAUAGAUGCUAAAUUCAAGGAGGACAUCUUGAAAAGUUAACGUCAAAUAGCAUACAAUUGAGUUCCAUGCCAAAGGUUCAUGCUACUCCAUAUUCUCAAUUCUAAAUUCAAAAAAAUACUAAAUGGGUACACAUGGUCCUGCAAUUUUGACCAUAAUUUGUAUCAUAUACAUUGGAGUGUUACUGAUUUUAGAGUAUGCUCCAGAGACAGUCACACCUUAGUGGUGUCCUAGAGAAUAAUUUCAAUUUCAUUAUGUUAACACAGACAAGUCCCUCUCCAAAACUUGAGACAAAUAGAAGAGAUCAUGAAUAUCUAUGUUGUUCACACAGCAACACCCUCUACCAGAGUCAUUCCAGGUGACCAAUUGAAAGUUAAUGAACAAACUUCUAUUAUUUUGGUCUAGUCAUUUGUUUUGUAUUUUUCUGUUCCAACAAACUCUUUUUUCUCGAAUACGCAGGAGAGCCUGCGUAUCUUUGUAUUAAGAGAUAAAAGAGAGUGGGUCCGGUACAACACCUCACCCCAAACCCCGGACCAAGUAAGGGGUUGCAAAUACAAACCUUUCUAAAUGCCCGAAAAUAUUAAAAAAAAUGGGGUAGGACCUGACCGCUAGGGCCCAGCAAGAACUUUGCCCGCUCGUUGAGCCGGCUCGGUGACUCGAUUCAAAAAUGCUCCGAUUGAAUCAUUUUUCUUUUAAAAAUAAAAAUGAGUUGAUUUUGAGUGACUUCUAACUUUGGCUCCGCUUGAUAAGCUUGGCUUGAAGUUGGGUCUCAAACAAUUCAGGAGACAAUAAAAAAACUCAACCUAUUAAGGGUAAGACAGCCCCCGCGCCUCGUAUUAAGAGAAGACCUCACACAGGUCAAGAAAACCACCAAACUCAUACACAGCGACACUGUAGCCCCAUGUGAGAACGGCCACGGUUGAACCUUAGACAUGUGCUUUGGUGUGGGACAAACGAGAGGAUUUUUUUGACCCUAGACUGAAAUUCGCUCCCAUGGGGAGUCGAAUUGACCUAAGGAGUGCUACUCAGGCCACCUAAUCAACUCAACUAGAGGCCCUUUCGUAGACUACAAUAAAUAAGAUUAUGUCAAUU
rnacentral:lncRNA from 7 species